AGGACUAGUUCUGCAUGAGGUAGUAGGUUAUGCUGUUCGGAAAAUAAUAUAAACGGUAACAGCGUAAAAUGCGCCUCUCCAGAACUCAGUCCAUAUUCGACA
rnacentral:pre_miRNA from 1 species